rnacentral:rRNA from 1 species
UACGUAGGGACCAAGCGUUGUUCGGAUUUACUGGGCGUAAAGGGCGCGUAGGCGGCAAUUCAAGUCAGCUGUGAAAUCUCUGGGCUUAACCCAGAACGGCCAGCUGAUACUGCUUUGCUAGAGUGCAGAAGGGGCAAUCGGAAUUCUUGGUGUAGCGGUGAAAUGCGUAGAUAUCAAGAGGAACACCUGAGGUGAAGACGGGUUGCUGGGCUGACACUGACGCUGAGGCGCGGAAAGCCAGGGGGAGCAAAACGGGG